CACUUUUGGCAACGGAUCACUUGGCUCUCGCAUCGAUGAAGAACGCAGCGAAAUGCGAUAAGUAAUGUGAAUUGCAGAAUGCAGUGAAUCAUCGAAUCUUUGAACGCACCUUGCACCCGUUGGAACUCCGAAGGGUAUGCUCGUUUGAGUGUCAUUGUACUCUCACACUCCUCUGAUCCUUUGGAUUCGGGGAGCGGUGGACCUGGGUGUUUGCUGCUUUCCUUGUGGCUCACCUCGAAUGCGUCAGUGCACCUCUUGGUUGGACAUAGUACGGCGUGAUAAGUGUCUUCGCCGGCACCUCGCAAGAGGGUGGCCGAUCGAGAGCUCUGUGCUUUCAAACCGUCUUCGGACACUUUCUGACAACUUGACCUCAAAUCGGGUAGGACUACCCGCUGAACUUAAGCAUAUCAAUAAGCGGAGGCU
rnacentral:misc_RNA from 1 species